UACGGGGGGGGCAAGCGUUGUUCGGAAUUACUGGGCGUAAAGGGCGUGCAGGCGGUUUGUUAAGUGCAGGGUGAAAGCUCCCGGCUCAACUGGGAGAGGUCCUUGCAUACUGGCGAACUCGAGGGAGGCAGAGGAAAGUGGAAUUCCCGGUGUAGUGGUGAUAUGCGUAGAUAUCGGGAGGAACACCUGUGGCGAAGGCGGCUUUCUGGACCGGUAUUGACGCUGAGGCGCGAAAGCCAGGGGAGCAAACGGG
rnacentral:rRNA from 1 species